rnacentral:lncRNA from 1 species
UUACUUGUCUCUCUCUAUUUCUCUGGAGCCAUACGCAAGGAGGAGGAGAACUCGGUUGGAGCUCGUGUGUUGCCGACGUCGCGCCGCAGUACCGUUUGAGCGUGUGUUCAUCGUCGUAGCAUCGCGAGGAGGCCGGGUGAGGGUGCGUUUACGCCGUUCUCGACGUCGCACCUGAUUGGAAUUAGCUUUUGAGGUGGGUUUAUCAUCGGAUUCCUUCUCCUAUAGCUUUACUAGUCGACAUGUAUCGUUGGUGUUGCACGUUACUAUUGUUUAGCUCAAAUCCAUGGGUAUGCAUGUUUUAGACAUAUAAAUUGAAUUUGGAGCAUGUUAUUAGUUAUUAUUAAUUAUACAUGUUGGACUUGGAUUUGACAUAAGAGAAAACUAGCGUUCGGGACCUGUCAUAUGUUAAACUACCUGAUUUAGCCUUAGGGGGCGUUGUAUUUUUAUACUGUCGCAGUAUCCUUGUGGGGAGUACCCCAGGUAGUUCAGUUUACUGUUACGCUCGUGCUAGGAUGCUGAGCCUAUUUUUACAGUAGUGUUUACACUGUCCCAAACUAGUGGGUGCCGUCGUGGUUGACGGCGAACCCGGAUUUAAUUGAUUUGAUAUCAGAUUGUGCCGAGGGUACGUGACUAGUGGUUGAUAGUCCAGCUAGAUCCUAUUUACUUGACCUGAGCCUGUGAGAGCCAGAAUAAAAUGAUAGAGACAUUUGUAACUCGUGGGUCGCACCCGCGAAUGCCAUUCUGGAAUGAGAUUUCAGUGCGAUGAGUGUCGUAGUUUCUGUUGGAUAGUUCUUGAGCCGACCACCCCCGGGGUGGUGUACGGCAUAGUGAGAUACAGGCAGGGUGGGCCCGUUUGGGCAGCCCGGGUGAGAUAGUGAGUGACUUUUACUUGGUUAGUGUAGAGCAUGCUAGUGUAGCAAUAUGUAGCUGUAGAUUGCUUUCCAGCUUUUUCUUACUAGCUCUGUUUCUUUCUAUAGACUUAGUGGGUGGACCGAUGAUGUUGAGGGCGAUACCCACUGAGGACUACUUGUUUUUACAGUAGUUCUCACGCCCAGUUAUUACCACUAUUUUGCAGAGCCAUCGUCUUCAGCUGCUGUUGCUGUUGCCGAUUCUGACCGAGGCAAGAACGUCGCGAGUUAGAGCCCUACUAGACGAGUCGCUAUGAUAAAGGAGUACUUGCUGCAGGUAGUUGUACUUUUAUUAUUUUUUUGAGUUCAUGUACGUACUAAUGUAUAACUCGCUGGAGCGAGUACCUUUGUACAGGAUUUUCUUGUAUGUAUAUGAGACUUAUUUUGUUCUACCUGUUUAGUUUCUGUCUGCCACCACGAAUGACGCACCUCGCACGGCUGAUUUUAUUUUGAUUUUCCCGUGGGGUAGUAUUCAUGAUGUAGAUUAAAAUAUGUGUAUGUAUGGUUAUCAGGUAUUGCGGAUCCAUAGCUUCCAAUAAACGCAAGCGUCUAUUGUUAAUUACCCCUAUAGAAUAUUAGGGCACCUUCGAUUAAGAGACCUCUGAAAUGCUGAAGAUAAACUGGAGUUGGACAAAAAAAAAUUUUUAUAAUUUAUUGCUCAAUUACAUGGCUUUAACCAAGGGCAUACCCUCAGUGUACAUAAAUAGAGCGUAAAGAAAANCUUUGUCAUAGGAGACACAGCAUUCUUGGGGAACGUCAGCCUAUUGAAGACUGACGCUUUAGGCGCCAUAUCAAGUGGCGAUGUUCCCUCACUUCGAUUUUGGAACACCAACCUACCUUGUAGCUCCAUUCUCUUUGAAGCACUGAUAGGCGUGAUCCUCUCCCUCACAGGGACACGAGAGGCGUUAAGAGUCAUCCUCUCCUUCAUUGGAACGUGAGGAGGGUUGGGGAUGACGACAUUCGGGCGCCUUCCACGAGAGGGAAGGUGGGGAACCACAGUCUUAACGGUGUCGGUGCUGGUAGCAGCAGUGAAAGGGGCCAUAGCAGCAGCCCUAGCCUCUUCCGGGAUGGUGCCGAAUUGGAUCGUAGCACCGGCAGCUCCGAAAGUGAGGAUGGAUGCUGGCAGGGAAACCUGACCCGCCUUGAUCGUCAUCGAGCCCGCAGCAGUGUUCUUAGGUGUCAUUUCUCCUGCAGGGGAAUAAUGAAUGUAGAUUAAAUAUUUACCGCCCAAUUCUAUUAGCAUAUCAUUGGUCUCAAAGAUGGAAGGAGAAGCCAAGUCCCACCGGGCGUGCCAUUUUGUCUGCCACCACGAAUGACGCACCUCGCAUGGGAAAUUUUUAUCUUUUGAUUCUCCCGUGGGGUAGUAUUCAUGAUGUAGAUUAAAGUAUGUGUAUGUAUGGUUAUCAGGUAUUGCGGAUCCAUAGCUUCCAAUAAACGCAAGCGUCUAUUGUUAAUUACCCCUACAGAAUAUUAGAGCACCUUCGAUUAAGAGACCUCUGAAAUGCUGAAGAUAAACUGGAAUUGGACAAAAGGAAAUUUAUAAUUUAUUGCUCAAUUACAUGGCUUUAACCAAGGGCAUACCCUCAGUGUACAUGAAUAGAGCGUAAAGAAAAUGUAUUUUUCAAUUGUAUCUUAGUUAUAUAUUCUAAGAUACCCAAUAUAUGGUCAAAUUAAUUUUGUUGGACUCUAUAUAUUGCGGAGCUCAACACUAUUCACCCUAAGAUGAAAGAUUGAUUAAAUUCCAUAUAUAUAUGCAUUGGAAUUUAAUCAGAUUUAAUUUCGAUUAAACUCUAAUUAUAUGUAUUAGAGUUUGAUUUGGUUAAUUGAACUCUAAAUGUAUGUGAUAAAGUCCAAUGAGAUUUGAUUUUGUUGAGCUCUAUAUAUUUUGGAGCUCAACUCUGUUUACCAUGAGAUGAAAGAUUGAUUAAAUCCCAUAUAUAUACAUUGGAAUUUAAUCGAACUUGAUUAAACUCUGAACUUUAAAUAUAUGUAAUAAAGUCCAAUAGAGUUUGAUUUGAGCUUUUAUCCUAAAUAUAUGUAUUAGGAUUAGCCCCAAAUAUCUUGAAUUAGACUCUAAUUUUAUAUUUUAGAGUCUGAUACAAUUAGGCUCUAAGUUUAUGUAUUAGAGCUUAGUCACAUUUGAUUUUGGUUCAUCUCAAGAUGAAAUAUUAACUAAAUCCUAAUUAUAUGUAUUAGGAUUAGUCAGAUUUGAUUUAAAUUAAACUCCAAGUGUAUGUAUUGGAAUCCAACAAAUUAAUUUGAUCAGAUGGUUUGAUCAAUUCUAAAUAUAGGUUUAGAAUUUGAUCAAGAUUGUGAUUUGACUCUAGUUUUAUAUGCUAGAGAAUCGAAUAUUUUGGGAAUUGGGAUGUUCGUGAAAAUUGAACUUGAGUUUAGUUUAACGACAUUUCGGUCGAUGUCGGAUUUAGGUUUAGUUUAACGACGUUUCGGUCGGUUGAUUUGGUGGAUUAGUUUAACGACGUUUCGGUCGAAGUUUUGGGUUUGGUUCACAAGGUUUAUGGUAUUGGGUAUAUGGGAUUAUGGUUCAUGAACUUAGAUAUGGCUCAUGGAUUUAUGGUUCAUGGACUUAUGGUUCAUGGACUUAUGGUUCAUGGGUUUGAAUAUGGGUUAAUGGUAUGGGUUCAUGGGUAAUGUAUAUGGUUUAUGUAUAUGGUUUAUGGGUUAAUGGUUUUAAUGAUUUUGGAUAAUGAGCUUAGAUAGUGGGCCCAAANAUGACUUAGGUCCAUAUGAUCGGGCUUAGAUUCAUGUCUCGAGGUUUUAUUUUGAUCAAUUAAGAUUUUCAUAUACAUUUUCUUCAAAUUCUGAAUUUGAAUAACAAAUUAAAUUUCAAUUUAAUUUGAAGUGUCUAAUGUGAUUUUGUCAAAGCUCUCUCUCUCUUUUAGAGUGGUCUCUCUUUUUGGUGAUAUUUUGCAAAGAGCACCAUCGAUGUUCAUCUCGGCGUUCCAUCGAGCGGUUUGAUUAGCACAUCGACGACGAAGUAUUUCGUCGAAUGAUUGGUCGGUAAAUGAGAGCAUCGCUCUCUUUAUGAUUCGCCACCGAGCAAUUAUCGGGCGAACUUUGUUUGAGAGGAAAGCACCGCUCUCUCUCUCGGAUUCGUCGUCGGAGCGGUUGGCGGACUUGACUUCAUUUGAGAGGAGAGCACCGCUCUCUCUCAGGUUCGCCGUCGAGCGGUUGGUGGGC